CCUACGGGGGGCAGCAGUGGGGAAUAUUGCACAAUGGGGGAAACCCUGAUGCAGCGACGCCGCGUGAGUGAAGAAGUAUUUCGGUAUGUAAAGCUCUAUCAGCAGGGAAGAAAAUGACGGUACCUGACUAAGAAGCCCCGGCUAACUACGUGCCAGCAGCCGCGGUAAUACGUAGGGGGCAAGCGUUAUCCGGAUUUACUGGGUGUAAAGGGAGCGUAGACGGCAGCACAAGUCUGGAGUGAAAUGCCGGGGCUUAACCCCGGAACUGCUUUGGAAACUGUGCAGCUAGAGUGCAGGAGAGGUAAGUGGAAUGCCUGGUGUAGCGGUGAAAUGCGUAGAUAUUAGGAGGAACACCAGUGGCGAAGGCGGCUUACUGGACUGUAACUGACGUUGAGGCUCGAAAGCGUGGGGAGCAAACAGGAUUAGAUACCCUUGUAGUC
rnacentral:rRNA from 1 species